GAUGAACGCUGGCGGCGUGCCUAACACAUGCAAGUCGAACGAACGGACGAGGAGUUUGCGUCUCUGAUGUUAGCGGCGGAGGGGAGAGUAACACGUGGAUAAACUACCUAUAAGACUGGGAUAACUACGGGAAACCGGAGCUUAGACCGGAUGAUAUUUUGAACCGCGUGGGGCAAAAGUGAAAGUCGGUCUUUGUGUCACCUAUAGAUGGAUCAGCGCUGCAUUAGAUGGUUGGUAAGGUAACGGAUUACCAAGGCAACGAUGCAUAGCCGACCUGAGAGGGUGAUCGGCCACACUGGAAGUGAGACUCGUUCCAGACUCCUACGGGAAGCAGCAGUAGAGAAUCUUCCGCAAUGGGCGAGAGCCUGACAGAGCAACGCCGCGUAAGUGAUGAAGGUCUUCGGCUCGUAAAACUCUGUUAUUAGUGAAGAACAUAUGUGUAAUUACCUGUGCAGAUAUUGACGGUACCGAGUCAAAAAGCCACGGCUAACUACGUG
rnacentral:rRNA from 1 species